rnacentral:rRNA from 1 species
UCAGACGAUGCGUCAUGCAUAUCAAUAAGCGGAGGAAAAGAAACUAACAAGGAUUCCCCUAGUAACGGCGAGUGAAGCGGGAAGAGCUCAAAUUUGAAAUCUUAAAGGGUUUCCCUUUACGAAUUGUAGUUUAAAGAAGUGUUCUCUGUUGAGGUUUUGGCUAAAAGUUCUUUGGAAUAGGACAUCAUAGAGGGUGAGAAUCCCGUAUUUGACCUUUACUUUCAACUUUGUGAUACACUUUCAAAGAGUCGGAUUGUUUGGGAAUGCAGUCCAAAAUGGGUGGUAAAUUUCAUCUAAAGCUAAAUAUUGGCGAGAGACCGAUAGCGAACAAGUACCGUGAGGGAAAGAUGAGAAGAACUUUGAAAAGAGAGUUAAACAGUACGUGAAAUUGUCAAAAGGGAAGCGUUUGACACCAGUGUUGUUUUUCUGAAAAUCAAUUAAAGAACUGUUUAUGCUAAGCUGUUUAGACUUUAUCAGCUAACUGUUUAGUUUUGAGCUUUUCUUUAAUGCACUUUUCAGUUAACAAGUCAACAUCAAUUUCUUUUGCUGUAAAAAAGCUUGAGGAAGGUGGCUUGAGAUUCGUCUUAAGUGUUUAUAGCCUCUUGCCUAUGCAGUCGGAGAGAUUGAGGUCUGCAGCGUAGAUCCUUCGGGGCUAAAUGCAUUUGUGCUAAGUUAUAGCAUUUUAUAGACAACUUGUUGACUAUGAUUUGUCUUGUAGCUUACUCGCUUAUGUUAUUUUACCUACGCUUAGGAUGUUGAAUCUGUGCGAGACUAC